UGUCAGCUCGUGUCGUGAGAUGUUGGGUUAAGUCCCGCAACGAGCGCAACCCUUAUUGUUAGUUGCCAUCAUUAAGUUGGGCACUCUAGCGAGACUGCCCGGGUUAACCGGGAGGAAGGUGGGGAUGACGUCAAAUCAUCAUGCCCCUUAUGUCUAGGGCUACACACGUGCUACAAUGGUCGGUACAAUAAGACGCAAGCCCGCGAGGGGGAGCAAAACUGGAAAACCGAUCUCAGUUCGGAUUGUAGGCUGAAACUCGCCUACAUGAAGCUGGAGUUGCUAGUAAUCGCGAAUCAGCAUGUCGCGGUGAAUACGUUCCCGGGCCUUGUACACACCGCCCGUCAAGCCAUGGAAGCUGGGGGUACCUGAAGUCGGUAACCGCAAGGAGCUGCCUAGGGUAAAACUGGUAACUGGGGCUAAGUCGUAACAAGGUAGCA
rnacentral:rRNA from 1 species